GACGAACGCUGGCGGCGUGCUUAACACAUGCAAGUCGAACGGAAAGGCCCUGCUUUUGUGGGGUGCUCGAGUGGCGAACGGGUGAGUAACACGUGAGUAACCUGCCCUUGCCUUUGGGAUAACUUCAGGAAACUGGGGCUAAUACCGGAUAGGAGCUCCUGCUGCAUGGUGGGGGUUGGAAAGUUUCGGCGGUUGGGGAGGGACUCGCGGCUUAUCAGCUUGUUGGUGGGGUAGUGGCUUACCAAGGCUUUGACGGGUAGCCGGCCUGAGAGGGUGACCGGCGACAUUGGGACGGAGAUACGGCCCAGACUCCUACGGGAGGCAGAAGUGGGGAAUAGUGCACAAGGGGCGGAGGCCUGAUGCAGCAACGCCGCGUGCGGGAUGACGGCCUUCGGGUUGUAAACCGCUUUCGCCUGUGACGAAGCGUGAGUGACGGUAAUGGGUAAAGAAGCACCGGCUAACUACGUG
rnacentral:rRNA from 1 species